rnacentral:misc_RNA from 1 species
AAAGUCGUAACAAGGUCUCCGUUGGUGAACCAGCGGAGGGAUCAUUACCGAGUUUACACUCCCAACCCUUUGUGAACCUUACCUACCGUUGCUUCGGCGGACCGCCCCGGGCGCUGCGUGCCCCGGACCCAGGCGCCCGCCGGGGACCACCCAAACCCUGUUUUUGUUUUCAAAACAUGUGUAUCUUCUGAGCGAGCCGAAAGGCGCAAAAAAAACAAUCAAAACUUUCAACAACGGAUCUCUUGGUUCUG